GGAUAGCAGAUUAAUGACCAGCUAAUGCAUCGAAGAAAGCAUCUUAAUGAGCAGGUAAUGUCCAUGAUAACAUCUUAAUGAGCAGGUAAUGUCCAUGAUAACAUCUUAAUGAGCAGGUAAUGUCCAUGAUAACAUCGUAAUGAGCAGGUAAUGUCCAUGAUAACAUCGUAAUGAGCAGGUAAUGUCCAUGAUAACAUCGUAAUGAGCAGGUAAUGUCCAUGAUAACAUUGUAAUGAGCAGGAAAUGUCUAUGAUGACAGCUUAACGAGCAGGUAAUGUCCAUUAUAACAUCAUAAUGAGCAGGUAAUGUCCAUGAUAACAUCGUAAUGAGCAGGUAGUGUCCAUGAUAACAUCGUAAUGAGCAGGUAAUGUCUAUGAUGACAGCUUAAUGAGCAGGUAAUGUCCAUGAUAACAUCGUAAUGAGCAGGUAAUGUCCAUGAUAACAUCGUAAUGAGUAGGUAAUGUCUAUGAUGACAGCUUAACGAGCAGGUAAUGUCUGUGUUGACAGCUUAACAAGCAGGUAAUGUCAGUGACAACAGCUUAACAAGCACAGUUAUCUUGAAUAAUAAAUCUUAACGAGCAUAUAUUGUGUCUGUGAUAACAGCUUAACAAGCAGGUAAUGUCUGUGAUGACAGCUUAAGGAGCAAAUUGGACUGGGAGUUUGGCACUUCUCAGGGUUUCUUACAGAAAUAACCCCAAUGACCACAGAAUAUCUGCCCUCAGUGUAAUUGCACUCACUGUUUCAGCCAGGCUCCACCUACUACACAAUUCUAAAAAAAUGCAUCCUGGGGUGAGUGGAGUAGGUGUGUUCAUCUCAUUUGCAUAAAGUAUUCUAUAUGCUUGUUAUUUCUACAGCGUAAGCUUAUGAAACUCUGAUCAAACUGUCAUACAAGGCGUUGCAGAUGAAAUAUGAACCUAGAUUCAGCAAUUACAUGGUCUAUUUCUCACCUCAGAUGUUUUCAGUAUCAUAUUUUAGUGGACUGUUUAGGUGGAAUAUAAGAGUUAA